rnacentral:lncRNA from 1 species
UCACACUCAUGCGCUACAGGCCUCCCUUUCCUACUCCCUAAUUUUCAAAAUACACACACUCCACCCUUCCAUGCCUACCUUCUCUGUUAGCACCCAACACACUCUCUAUCCCUGCCUUCACUCCUCCUUGUACCUCCACUCACAACCACACAUAAUUUCUUCUCUCACACGAACCUCACUCACUCACCGAACUCCUCAUUCUCUCUCCUCUCGCGGCCUCCUCCAUAUACCUCCACUCACAAUCACACAGAAUUUCCUCUCUCUCACGGAUCUCACUCACUCACCGAACUCCCCAUUCUCUCUCAUCCCACGGCCUCCUCCAUGUUCCUCCACUCACAAUCACAGAAUUUCCUCUCUCUCACGAACCUCACUCACUCACUAAACUCCUCAUUCUCUCUUCUCCUGCGGCCUUCAUGUACCUCCACUUGCAAUCACACAGAAAUUUUCUCUCUCUCACGGACCUCACUCACUCAUCUAACUCUUCAUUCUCUCUCAUCCUGCGGCCUCCUCCAUGUACAUCCCUUCACACUUCUACAAUUCCACCGACUAUCUCCACCCGCCUAUUCCCUGAACUACAGUUUUUCUACUCCAUAUGCUAAGCGAUGACUAUAUCUUCCCAAACCUACGGUCACAAUUUCAAAUUUAUACUAAACCUACUCAUGAAACUUAAGAUUUACCGUACCUCCCAUCUCCAUCUCUCUUUCUGCACUCUCGUGGCUCGCAUCGUCAUUGUCCUCCUUCUCCUUCUCUCUCUCUUCUCGUUCCUCCCCGCUCCAGCUCCUCUCUCUCUCUCUCUCUCUCACCUUCUCCUCCUUCGACUCCUCUUAUCUGUUUUUUUUCUUUUCUUUC